rnacentral:rRNA from 1 species
AGCGAACGCUGGCGGCGUGCCUAACACAUGCAAGUCGAACGUGAAAGGGAGCAAUCCCGCGUAAAGUGGCGUACGGGUGAGUAACACGUAGGUAAUCUACCCCAGAAUCUGGAAUAACCGGCCGAAAGGCUGGCUAAUACUGGAUAGAGCGACGGACUCCGUAAUUGGGUUUUUCGGGAAAGGGAGCCUGUAAAAAGGCCUUCGUUCUGGGAUGAGCCUGCGUCCCAUCAGCUAGUUGGUGAGGUAAAAGCUUACCAAGGCAAUGACGGGUAGCUGGACUGAGAGGACGGGCAGCCAGCCUGGGAGUGAAACACGGGCCAGACUGCUAGAGGAGGCAGCAAGGGGGAAACUUGCGGAAGGGGCGAAAGACUGACGACGCAACGCGGCGGGAGUGAAGAAGGACGUCGGGUUGUAAAGGUCUGUCGAGUGGGACGAAAAUGCUUGGAGUUCACAGCUCCAGGAACUGACGGUACCAGUAAAGAAAGCACCGGCUAACUCCGUG